rnacentral:sRNA from 1 species
AAAGGAACUGGAGGGGUUGGAGAAUGUGGUGGUGCGGAAGGGAAGAAAAGGAAGAAAGGGGGAAAAGGCAGAGGUGGGGCAAAUACCGAUGAUGAUAGCGAUUAAUGGGCUCAGUUAUUCGGUCUAUUCGGUUUCAAUUUGAUACCUUGCGAAAGAGGGAAGCUGGCUGUUUCGCAACUGUUUUUGGGGAAGUGUUUCUGGAAAUGGCUACUUCUUCGAAGACAUGAGGAAAAUCGAUUUAUGGAAGAGAUCUUUGAUGAUCAUAUGUGUAGAAAUAAGUAGGGAUACCAAUUGUUAAGAAUAUAUGAAUACCACUGA